rnacentral:rRNA from 1 species
UACAGGGGGUGCAAACGUUGCUCGGAAUUAUUGGGCGUAAAGCGCGCGUAGGCGGCCACUUAAGUCGGAUGUGAAAGCCCUUGGCUCAACUGAGGAAGUGCAUCCGAAACUGGCAAGCUAGAGUAUGUAAGAGGGUCGCGGAAUUCCCGGUGUAGAGGUGAAAUUCGUAGAUAUCGGGAGGAACACCGGUGGCGAAGGCGGCGACCUGGGACAAUACUGACGCUGAGGUGCGAAAGCGUGGGGAGCAAACAGG